AGGAGAUGUUAAUGUGGGACCUGUAUGAUUGGCAACACAUUUUCUAACUGUCUCUUUUCUUAACCUUCUAAACUUCUACUAAUGUGAAGAAGCAUUAAUAAAAAAGAAAGACGAGAAGACCCUGUCGAGCUUCAACUUCUAAAAGAAAAUAAAUAUAAUUCUUACAAAGAACAAUAUUUACUCUAACACAGAAGUUUUGGUUGGGGUAACCAUGGAGUAAAAAAAACCUCCAGAAACUUAGACAGAUUCUAAAUCAAAUAAACACUAAACAAAAAGAACCAAACAUAUUGGAAAACAGACAAUAGUUACCGCAGGGAUAACAGCGUCAUCUCCUUUAAGAGUUC
rnacentral:rRNA from 1 species